CCUACGGGGGGCAGCAGUGAGGAAUAUUGGUCAAUGGGAGAGAUCCUGAACCAGCCAAGCCGCGUGAGGGAAGACGGCCCUAUGGGUUGUAAACCUCUUUUGUCGGGGAGCAAAGCGAGUCACGUGUGACUCAUUGAGAGUACCCGAAGAAAAAGCAUCGGCUAACUCCGUGCCAGCAGCCGCGGUAAUACGGAGGAUGCGAGCGUUAUCCGGAUUUAUUGGGUUUAAAGGGUGCGUAGGCGGGCAUUUAAGCCGGCGGUCAAAUGUCGGGGCUCAACCCCGGCCUGCCGUCGGAACUGGGUGCCUUGAGUGGGCGAGAAGUAUGCGGAAUGCGUGGUGUAGCGGUGAAAUGCAUAGAUAUCACGCAGAACUCCGAUUGCGAAGGCAGCAUACCGGCGCCCAACUGACGCUGAAGCACGAAAGCGUGGGUAUCGAACAGGAUUAGAUACCCUGGUAGUC
rnacentral:rRNA from 1 species